CCCAAAUCUUGGAUUUCUAUUGAUGAUUGCUUUUAUUUUUGUACACUAGUAGACUCAAUAGAUUAAAAAAUUCGGUACUGAUAAUGACUUCAAUCCUAAUUUCUUUGGUUAUUUGUGUUGAGAAGCUUGCUUUAGCACUCUUCCCCUUUUUUUCCUCUAUUCUUUGCUUGUUCCUGGGUGUUUACACUUUAUCAAUUCAUUAUUCUAUUGAGCAAUCGACCUCAUCCAACUUGUAAUGAUUCUUGGUUUUUCCUGUCACAAUUCCAUUAAUACUGGUUCCCAAAUCAGACAGAACACACUUCUUUGUAAUUGCUUAUAUUGAUCUCCACACAAGCUUACUUUUGCUUUUCAUAGUCUUUCCUCAAGAGGGAAUAUGGAGAUGCCAGCCAUUUUUCUUGUUGGAUUGUUUUGCGUUUUGUUCAAUGAUGGAACUGAAGUUGAUGCUUCACAGCCAGAAUUCCAGAAUUUUCAAUCUUGUAAUCUUAUGGUGAACGAAAGCCAACCUUACAGAACCUCUUAUCACUUCCAACCUCCAAAGAACUGGUUGAAUGGUAUGUAUAUUUGCCAUGUCUCUUUACUACAUCACCAAUUUAAGUUUUACCCUUUCUUUCUUUCUUUCUUUACUUGUAAUUCUUAACAGUUUUUAAUCUCUGUGUUCAUCUCUUUACUUGCUCUGCUGGUUGAUGCACGUAUGGAUGCCUCCGAUCAUGCAGAUCCUAAUGGUGAGUAUGCCAGUUAAUAUAUGUUUCUGGUGAUUGAAUUUUAACACCACAGUGAGGGGGGAGAGGGGAGAGAGAGAGAGAAACAAAUAGACAGAAAGAGUCACUAUGCUUCAAGUUAUUGAUGAUAAAAUCACGUCAUUCUUCAUGUUCUUUUGCAUAAAAUUCCAUACCUACUUAUAUUAAUCCAUAUCUUUUAAAUUUAGUAGAUUCUAGCAUGAUACUGGCAACCAUCCAACCUGGGUCACCCCCAAGAUGUGUAUCCGUGCAAGUCUUAAAUUGGGAUAUUAGGGUUUGAGCUUCUAUAAUGUUGACAUAGUUACAGAUUAUGUUGUGAUGUUGAUCCAUCUGUUGCAGGGCCA
rnacentral:misc_RNA from 1 species